rnacentral:rRNA from 1 species
UACAGAGGGUGCGAGCGUUAAUCGGAAUUACUGGGCGUAAAGCGUGCGUAGACGGCUAUCUAAGUCGGGUGUGAAAGCCCCGGGCUCAACCUGGGAACUGCAUUCGAGACUGAAUAGCUAGGGUGCGGUAGAGGGAAGCGGAAUUUCCGGUGUAGCGGUGAAAUGCGUAGAUAUCGGAAGGAACAUCAGUGGCGAAAGCGGCUUCCUGGACCAGCACCGACGUUCAGGCACGAAAGCGUGGGGAGCAAACAGG